CCUACGGGAGGCUGCAGUGGGGAAUAUUGCGCAAUGGACGAGAGUCUGAACCAGCCAAGUAGCGUGAAGGAUGACUGCCCUAUGGGUUGUAAACUUCUUUUAUAUGGGAAUAAAGUGUUCCACGUGUGGGAUUUUGUAUGUACCAUAUGAAUAAGGAUCGGCUAACUCCGUGCCAGCAGCCGCGGUAAUACGGAGGAUCCGAGCGUUAUCCGGAUUUAUUGGGUUUAAAGGGAGCGUAGGUGGGUUGUUAAGUCAGUUGUGAAAGUUUGCGGCUCAACCGUAAAAUUGCAGUUGAUACUGGCAGUCUUGAGUACAGUAGAGGUGGGCGGAAUUCGUGGUGUAGCGGUGAAAUGCUUAGAUAUCACGAAGAACUCCGAUUGCGAAGGCAGCUCGCUGGACUGCAACUGACACUGAGGCUCGAAAGUGUGGGUAUCAAACAGGAUUAGAUACCCGGGUAGUC
rnacentral:rRNA from 1 species